UACGAGGGGUGCAAGCGUUGCUCGGAAUUAUUGGGCGUAAAGGGCAGGUAGGUGGUCUCAUUUGUCAGGGGUGAAAGCCUUGGGCUUAACCCAAGAAGUGCCUUUGAAACGGUGAGACUGGAGUCUUGGAGAGGGUCGUGGAAUUCCCAGUGUAGCGGUGAAAUGCGCAGAUAUCAGGAGGAACACCGGUGGCGAAGGCGGUCUCUGGGCCGAUAUUGACGCUGAGGAGCGAAAGCGUGGGAGCGAACAGG
rnacentral:rRNA from 1 species